AUGGUGUAGGGCUCUAUUUUCGGCUGUAGUUAACCCAGCGCAAUUCUCAAAUGCACAAUAUUUUGCCAUUUCAACCUCUUAAAGCAGGCACUCUGCUCUUUUCAAAGCAUUGCGCCAGGGUGAUAUUAGAGACAGAACAAAAGCUGGUCUUAGCAGUAGGGCUGUUGUCUAUGGCAUGGAUUUAGCCUGCGGAGGCACCCGGUAUCCUAAUCAAUAGAAUAGCAUAUCGCCAAUGGUAUAUUAAAAUAUCACUUUUGGGAGCAGUUUUUCGAUAAUAUUUAUGUCCAGCUCCUGUAAAAACAACUUUAGACACAUGCGAUGCCCAUUGAAUGAAAGAUGUAGAGUUUCUUACUUCCGUUGAGGACAUGCUGGACAAUCACUCCAACAUCCUAAUCAGCAGGAACGAAGACAAAAGACAUUCCGAUCUCUCAGCUGUAUGUCACGAAUUCAUGUACCCAUUCAAAAUGCUCAAGUUCUGUUCCAACUAUUUCAGUGGCUGUGACUGAAUGAUAUGCGGAUCAAGCUUUUCAAUAAACAGGCAAUGACAGCCAUAACGGCCGAUUGAGAUUGAGAGGGAACAGAAUGCGACCUGCAGAUGUUCCUUUGACUUCCUUUCACACUGCUCUGGAGAACCGCUGUUGGCUGUAGAGGGAUCUUUCGAAAUAGGCAUCGACUCAAUACUACUGUAAAAUAGUAAUUGCCACCAUUCUAGCUGCACUAGGAACAGUUUUAAGAUGUAGAGAUGGAUGGACGAGGCAUACAUACAAUGGAUACACAGUCAUUCUUUUUCUUACUAAACAUGAAUAAAUCCUUAAUUUCA